UCAGCAGCACUGUUGCAGCAUUGCAGGGCUCUGUGUACCGGAGGUUGGCAGAUUUCAGGUCUCGUGGUCGUAAAUGAGACCACAGCAGGUACACGCGCUCCGGGCCGAGCGUUUCUCUUCAGACGCUUUUGAUUAUUUUUUGUCAAACUAGUUAAAAGGAUAUCUUCGAAACAUUCCCAAAAGACACGGAAAGUCGACCGUAUUGAUUUGAGGCGGUCUGCGGACAUUCAUAAUGAGUUUGGCAGUCGCUGAUGUAAACGACUUGAGGUGAAGACGCGACGCUAACAGUCAGGACAGGGCAGAUAUCUUAUUAGCUCUCCAGAGGUGAAGGAUGGGGCGUAAACUGGAUCUCACUGGUCUGACAGAUGUGGAGGCUGAGCAUGUGAUGCAGGUGGUGCAACGGGACAUGGAGCUGCGCAAAACGGAGGAGACGCGGCUCAAUGAGAUGAAGAAGGCACUGGUUGAGGAGGGCAGUCGGUCUGUUUUGCUGUCGCGGCAGCACAGGUUUAAUGAGCGCUGCUGCAUCCGCUGCUGCUCUCUGUUCACCUUUCUGCUCAACCCUAAACGUUCCUGCCUGGACUGUUGCUA